GUUUCUGUAGUUAAUAGUCUAUAACAGCAGCUUUUCAGGCUGCGGUUCUCGGAUAAGGACCGAGCAGGAACA
rnacentral:tRNA from 2 species